rnacentral:rRNA from 1 species
AACGGGUGAGUAACGCGUGGGCAACCUGCCCUCUAGAUGGGGACAACAUCCCGAAAGGGGUGCUAAUACCGAAUGUGACAGCAAUCUCGCAUGAGGAUGCUGUGAAAGAUGGCCUCUAUUUAUAAGCUAUCGCUAGAGGAUGGGCCUGCGUCUGAUUAGCUAGUUGGUGGGGUAACGGCCUACCAAGGCGAUGAUCAGUAGCCGGUCUGAGAGGAUGAACGGCCACAUUGGGACUGAGACACGGCCCAGACUCC